ensembl:processed_transcript
GUGAGACCAGGACAAUGGAUUACAUUAAAGAAGGAAAAUGUGAAGACUGAAAAUGCUUCUCUGAUGAGAAAGCAGCCACCUAGAUCCCACGAGCUCAUGUUACCGUAAUAUUUACUAAUAGGACUCUGACAAUGCCUGGCGCAUAACAGUUCCUGGUAGACAGGGUCACUGACAGGUGUCACAAAGUCUGGUUGGUGGCUUACAGGCAUGACACAACAGGAACAUUCGAAGCAGGAGUGGACGAGAAAACGGCAGAUCUGUCCGCUGUGAUGACGGGAUUACCUAACUCGGUGACCAGACACCUUGGUGUCCCUCCCUUUACGCGUCUCCAGCUCGCUGUCUACCAGCCUCUCCCAAGUCUACCAUUGUUUUUACAUGGAGGAUGAACUGGAAGUUGAUUUUUUUUUAAUUAGGCCAAGAAAAAUAACAGAGAAUCUUUGGAAGGAGACAGAAACCGAAUUAAACAAGGCUCCAUUCUGAAGAUGUUCUCAGCUCUCAGAUCCCACAAUCACAAAGCGUCCAAAGAGAAAAGACAACUGGUCGAGGAUGGACUUCAUUCUCCCAGUACUUAUAACAAAGAGCUCAGACUCGCCUCUUACUGGUGCUUCGUCGUAUUAGAGCAAGUGACUCUGUAGACGUGCUCUGUUCACCUGCUUUCCCUGCUUGCUUCAGCUCACUCCCCAUCACCUAUGCACAUCCACUUUCCACAGCAGGAUGCAGUCAAGGACCACAUAAAGGAAGAUUUCUACUUGACUUUGCCAGAAGUGGGGCGGUUCUAAAGUUCAACACAAAUGCUGGGCUGGAAGCCGUCCUGAUAACAUAGGUGUU